UUGAUAGAAGUAGAUGGAGAAAAUGCAGAUUCUAAAAAAUAUAUCUGUCGACAACAUAUAUUUUAUAAACGGCCAAGCAACUAUUGCAGUAAGGAAACUUACUAUUGCGCAAGUUCUAGAGACCUAUUUUACAAUUGCGGAGUGCAAAUUACGCGAGACAGUCGAAAUAAAUUAAUUCUUGAUUUGAAAAAAAAGGGCCAUCAGCACAAACCUCCACCAGAUGUUUCACUCAUUUCGAAAAUGAUAGAAGAUAUAAAAGAAGCAGCUAAAUAUUCUGGAACUGUUCACAUGAUUUAUGAUUGAGUGGCAGCAAAGCAUCCAAAAGCUGCCAGCUACAUUUCGUUAGGACGAGUUGGAAAUAUCAUCAAUCAUGAACGAAAAUCGUACUGGAUGAGUGGUGUGGAAACCUUAGAAAGUUUAUCAAUUUUAUUAGAAAAUCACCCUCUUCAUAAAAAGUAUUAUCAAGACAUUAUUUUUCCCGACAAUAGAAUGGAAGGGACUGUUUUAUGGUUUAGUGACGAGACUGCACUGUCUCGCCUGAACAAUGCUAAGGCAUUGUACAUCGAUGGAAACUUUAAGGUCGUUCCAGACAAACCAGAGUCAAUGCAAAUGUGGAAUAUUUUGAUGGAUGAGCAUGGAUCAGAGAAGACUUGUUUGGUGGGUUUUGCUUGGUGCACUAACGCUAAUCACGGUACAUACAGUGCUAUUUUGAACUACCUGAAAGAAAAAGCUCCUGGCUUAGAAAAAAAUCUUGAAAU